AAAGGAAUGUUUGUGUGGAUACGUGUGAAGGAUAACUGAUAGUUAUCGAUCGUUGGUUAUGACGCGUUAUUGUAACAGGUAACAUUGAAUUUCAUUGUUUGGGGUCAUUUUGUUGUUUAUCGAUAAGUAUUGAAUUUCUAGUGUAUAAAAGUAGUCGGAAAAGAUUUUGGUAAAUAAAAUUCGCAUAUUCGAUUAAUUUGUAACGUCAUGAUCGGAAAGCAAAAUGUAAACAAAAAGUUUCAAACACAGAAAGGCUAAUCAUGGUACGAUGGACUUUGAUGGAACUACUAAAUUUUGUUUAAUAAAGGUGGUUGGUAGAAUUUUAAAACACGUGAUACAGUUUGAUCCAUUGGCGUACGUUGCCCAUGGAAACGAGGACGCUGUUCUCUUCUAUUUUCUUGUUGUUGUUAAUAAUUUUCUUCCUUUCAAGAAACUUUCAACUGGCAAUGGAAAAUGGUAUUGAUAGAGAAGGUCAAGUGAAAAGCUAUUAAAUAGCUUCACUAACAUUAUAGACAGCGUUCCAUGUUAAAGCUCGAUCGAAGAAUUCAUUGGGAAAGAUAUCCUGUGGAUACUCGACAACUUUCCUCUUUCGUCCCACUCAUCGAUUGUCUCUCUCGCUAGUUGGUCGACGGGAAAAGAAAGGCCCACCGAGCACGUACCGUUCUGAUUGGAAAACUUUUUCCUACCUCAGACUUUAAUCGAAUCUGCAUCGUCUAAAGUCUAAAGUCUAAGGGUAACCGUCGUCGCACUGAUUCCACAUCGAUUUUGUUUCUGCAUUAACGCGACCACAGACUUAUACACCUGAUAAGAAUCAUUAUUUUAUCAUACUAAUAAUAAAAAUAUACAUAUUUCAAAAUGUACAUACAUAUAAAGAUUAUUCAACUCUCGUAUUUUAUAUAUGUAGAUUAUUAUUAUUAUUUAUUUUUUUUACAAAAUAGAUAUCUUUAUACAAGUUUCAUACAAUGGAAAUUUUUCAUAGUUUACUGUACCUAUUUUUUAUAAUUUACCGGUCUCAAUCCCGCGGGACUCUUAUUUCUUCUUUCACUUUCUAAAGUCUACUUUUCUACUCGAGGGAUAAAAAAGAUAUAACAAAUCGAAAAUGUAUUUUUACUAUUCUUUCGUACUAAAUAUUAUAUAUACUUAC